GGGAGGGUAGCUCAGCGGGAGAGCGUUCGGCUGAAGACCGAUGAGUCCCGGGUUCAAAUCCCGGCCCUCCCA
rnacentral:tRNA from 1 species